AAGACCUUGCACUUUUGGAGCGGCCGAUGUCUGAUUAGCUAGUUGGUGGGGUAAUGGCCUACCAAAGCUUCGAUCAGUAGCUGGUCUGAGAGGACGGCCAGCCACACUGGGACUGAGACACGGCCCAGACUCCUACGGGAGGCAGCAGUGGGGAAUUUUGGACAAUGGGCGCAAGCCUGAUCCAGCCAUGCCGCGUGAGUGAAGAAGGCCUUCGGGUUGUAAAGCUCUUUCAGCCGGGAAGAAAAGGUUGCGACUAAUAAUCGCAAUCCAUGACGGUACCGAAAGAAGAAGCACCGGCUAACUACGUGCCAGCAGCCGCGGUAAUACGUAGGGUGCGAGCGUUAAUCGGAAUUACUGGGCGUAAAGGGUGCGCAGGCGGUUUUGUAAGUCAGAUGUGAAAUCCCCGGGCUUAACCUGGGAACC
rnacentral:rRNA from 1 species